CCUUAUGAGUACCAGGGUUCCUAUCAGACGAACUAGAAAAGGGGAUCCCAGACAUGCUGCUGCUGUUUCACUGUGGAGCAUGACUUAGCAAUCUUGAAACAGAUCUGACUUUUUGCUUGGCAGCACAAAAAUGAUGUUAUUUUAGAAACUCUGUUGGAAAGUAUAGGCAUGAAACUACUCUGAGGUGAGAGGCCUUCCUUUUCAGAAAAGUUUUAAUAAUGAAACACGAAGUAAUUAGCUUUUUUGUAUGUUUAGUGGCACAAUUUUUAAUUUCGUUGAAGUUUGUAAUAAUUUUAACUGCUUUUUAAUAUGUGUACCACUCAUUUAUAUGCAACCAUGAACAACUUUAAAAAAUUAUACUUUUGUGUUCUUUUUCUCCCUUUUAUUUUUAGUUAAUACAUAACACAUUUGUGGGAUACAAAGUGAUAUUUCAGUACAUGUAUACAAUGUGUAAUGAUCAAAGCACAGUAAUCAGCAUAUCCAUCACCUCAGAUAUUUAUCAUUUCUUUGUGUUGGGAACAUUCAGAAUUCUCUUUUCUAGCUUUUUGAAAAUAUACAAUAGAUUGUUGUUAAGUAUAUUUACCUUGAAAUACUACAGAGCACUAGAACUUAUUGAGCUGCAAUUUUGUAUCAACCUCUCCCCUCCUCCCACUAGUCUUCCCAGCUUCUAAUAAACCACAAUUCAAGUCUC
rnacentral:antisense_RNA from 1 species